AACGAACGCUGGCGGCAGGCCUAACACAUGCAAGUCGAGCGAGAACUUCGGAUCUAGCGGCGGACGGGUGUGUAACGCGUGGGAAGGUGCCCGUCUCUACGGAAUAGCACUGUGAAACUGGGAGUAAUACCGUAUACGCUCUGUUAGGACAAGAUUUAUCGGAGAAGGAUCAGCACGAGAUGGUUUAGGUAGUUGGUGUGGUAAUAGCCUACCAAGCCGUCGAUCGAUAGCUGGGUUGAGAGGAUGAGUAGCCACACUGGGACUGGGACACGGCCCAGAAUCCUACGGGAGGGAGGAGUGGCGAAUCUUAGACAAUCGGGUCAACCCUGAACGAGCCAUGCCGCGUGAGUGAUGAAGGUCUUAGGGUUGUAAAGCUCUUUCAGCUGGGAAUAUACUGACGGUACCAGCAGAAGAAGCCCCGGCUAACUCCGUG
rnacentral:rRNA from 1 species